ensembl:antisense 1700109G14Rik RIKEN cDNA 1700109G14 gene
ACAGCACACUCUGUUGCAUGUGUGGAGCAGCUCAGCAGAAUGUGGUGCUGAAUUCCAGGUUGGCUUCCAGCCUAGGUUUAUGAAGGAAUCCAUCUUUCCGCGUUUCUGAUCAUCAUUAGAUGGGUGCUGUGUCCUUACACAAUUCGAAUUAUCUUCCCCCGAGUGAAGGUAAACGCAGGAAGAAAGAAUGGUGGCUGUCCUCUCCUGUCACUGUGUGUGUGUUCACACAUUUUGUUACUGUUACUCGCUGGCCAGAGCAAGAAAUGUCUUCUCUUAUCUUGGCUCAUGUUCUCUAAGAACAUUGUUCCGGUCUCUCAGUAUCUGAAUAAAACAGUGCCACUCUUUGCAAGAAGAAAGCAGGGACGGUGUCAGGUAGAAAAUACCAUUGCUGCAUGUGAAGGCCUAGGUAACUGUUGCCUGUCUGGCCAGCCAGUUUGUGCUGUUACUAAUGUCAUAAAGAAAAUUUUUCAUGUGCUGUCAUAGG